UUAUUAAUCCACUCAGAUCGUUCCCCACGAAGUGUAUUCAAAGCAAUCUUAAAGCUAGAGUCUUUUUCUUCUUUUAUCUCUGCAAGGGCGGUGUAUAUAUUCCUCUGAAAUGGCUAAGUCAUCAAUCAUUUUUCAGUAUAGAAGUCAGUCGUAUGUUUUUCAACCGUGGUGGUGAGAUUGCCAGAAACAUCAAACGCGGUGGAAAGAUUUUCCGUUACUGGCUGAUCCGGAAAUCAAGUGAUUGAAUCACGAGCAGGGAAAUAUGGGUUUUGGGUUUGUUCUUCGACUCGACGAAGGAUGAUGAACAAGAUCUAUAUACUCGCGGAUAUGGUGGUUACUGGUUACUUACUACUUAGUCUCGGACCCGAUAUGCUUCUUUUUUAAAGAUCACUUUUGCCUGACUUUUAUUUGUUUAUGUCCUCAACUUCUCCAUCUUUAAUGUUGUGUUUCAUGGACUCUUCAGUCUCUUCGUUAAAUAGCUAAGUGCUGGUCUUCUCUUUACAUCUUUUUGCUUUUAGGAAGUGAAUAGAUAAAUCACUUGAUGAAUGGUUCAUAAAGGUAUUGUUUUUGUUAUUGCAGUUGCUUUGUCGAUGACAAAGAAGAAAAGAAGGGAGAGGGAGCAGAAGGAGAGUAUUGUUAAUGGUAUCAGAGACUGUCGAUAAAUAUAACUCUGUCCAUGUUUCUCAUUUGAAAACAUGAAAAAUAUCAAAUUCAAGGAGUUAAGACAACAGUUUAGACACAAUGGUGAGGAACAAGGUUAAACUCUGUAUUCAAAACUACAUGAGCUUGGAAGCAACCGCUAAGUACCUUGAGAAGAAUCACCGGAUUAGUAAAAGUGUCACCCGCAUAGUUUUGGGGCAGCUUCGAGAAAAGAACCCAGAUUUCUUCAACCACUUCGAAUUGAGAUGCUAGAUGGCUUUUCGGAUGAGGAUGUUCAAUGAUAUGCUGACUAAGCAAGCUGUUGGGAUGUUCGAACAUGGACUUAUUGAUAUCUGUGAUGCAUCAAUUACGUAUGGGCACAGAACAAGCACCACAUUCUUUACAAUUGGAUCACUAUUUACAAAAGAUUUGGCUAUGCUUUCUGUUUGUGCUGCUUCUGUUAGGACUCUUCUUCGUCGACAAUACCCUGGAAGAGUUCAUCUUCUAGAGACAUUAGAUAAAGAAACAACAUGUAAAAGCUCUCUCUAAUCAUGAUAGUCACUAAAUUUAAAAUAUCUUUGCAUUGUGUAGCUUCCAAGAGAAAGCGGAGUUCUGCAAGCUUAGUAGCAUUGCCAUAUGCAAAUGGUCCAUGAGGUACAACCUGAUGUUGAUCAUGUUAAAGUCAGAUGGAUCCCAACCAAUUAUAAGUUCGCAAUAACGGUUAGCAUUAUUGAUCAAGACCUUGCUCAGAAAAAAAAAUGUGUACCAAAAUCAAGGUGUUUCCUUUCCGGAUUUGUGCUGAACUGAACAUGAAGCUAUGCAGAGAAAGCUUGAAGCCUGGCAGAAUGAGGAGAAGUUGCACAAUCUGCGGAAUUAACAGUCAAAAGGACAGUUUCAGAGACCAUACAGCUUAUGCACUCAAGAAGGCACGCAAGAAAAGCAACCUUUGGUUCAGUUUUCCAUGUUGACCAAGGAAGAAGGGAUAUUCUUAAUAUCUCAGACGUUAAUUCUGCUCAAGUCCACCUUUAAUUCGAACCGGCUUCCAACCUUCAGGCUUCACAAAACAGAUAAUAAAUUAAGAUGUUCUUAAUAUCUCAGACGUUAUUGGUGAGCUCACUGCUGUGAGAAGUGAUGAUGUUGAUCAAUAGAGACCAUAAGAGGCGUUGUUGCGGGAGGAAGUGAGGGCUUUUUCAGAGAUGGAGGAUGAUGACUUGAAGGCAGCGAUUGAAGCGAGCUGAGUUUGCUAGAUGCUUCUGCGACUGGUGUUAAUCUUGGAGCUGUUUGGACUUCUCAAAAGAAAACUGAGAAACAAAAGUGGCAGAGCAAAUAGAGAACGAAGCAGCUUUUAAUUGAUGUGUGUGAAGGAACAUUCAAUUGUUUUUUUUUGUUUUUGUAUUUGAUAAUUACUUACAGAACAUAGAAGCUUAUAUCGACAGAAACCAAAGGGUUUGUGAUAUGGUGUUUUGUGUUUGAGUUCUUUAUUGAUAAAUCAAACCAUCUCUACUUCUGGCUA